UACGGAGGGUGCAAGCGUUGCUCGGAAUUAUUGGGCGUAAAGGGUAGGUAGGUGGUCUUAUUUGUCUAGGGUGAAAUCCUUGAGCUUAACUCAAAGAAGUGCCCUAGAAACGGUAAGACUAGAGUCCUGGAGAGGGUCGUGGAAUUCCCGGUGUAGCGGUGAAAUGCGUAGAGAUCGGGAGGAACACCAGAGGCGAAGGCGGCGACCUGGACAGGCACUGACACUCAACUACGAAAGCGUGGGGAGCAAACAGG
rnacentral:rRNA from 1 species